GUGGGGAAUAUUGGACAAUGGGCGCAAGCCUGAUCCAGCCAUGCCGCGUGAGUGAUGAAGGCCUUAGGGUUGUAAAGCUCUUUCAGUGGGGACGAUAAUGACGGUACCCACAGAAGAAGCCCCGGCUAACUUCGUGCCAGCAGCCGCGGUAAUACGAAGGGGGCUAGCGUUGUUCGGAUUUACUGGGCGUAAAGCGCACGUAGGCGGACUUUUAAGUCAGGGGUGAAAUCCCGGGGCUCAACCCCGGAACUGCCUUUGAUACUGGAAGUCUUGAGUAUGGAAGAGGUAAGUGGAAUUGCGAGUGUAGAGGUGAAAUUCGUAGAUAUUCGCAGGAACACCAGUGGCGAAGGCGGCUUACUGGUCCAUUACUGACGCUGAGGUGCGAAAGCGUGGGGAGCAAACAGGAUUAGAUACCCGAGUAGUCC
rnacentral:rRNA from 1 species